rnacentral:misc_RNA from 1 species
GCCGAGGACGUUCGACCUCCCGCUAGUCUUGCUGACCCCCGAUGUUUGAUCGAUUUUUUGUUCCAUCUUUGGGUCCUCCUAUCCUUCCCCGCAAUCCGUUCUUUACGAGGACCAAGAUACUCCUCGUCCAAUGAAGGUUUAAAUAGGAAAUUUGUCCCACGGGCGUCUGGGCGAAUGUCCCGGUUGGACAUGGGCAAAUAUCCUGGCUGCCCUCGCGGGCAGAUCCGACGGGUGCCCGCGAGGGUGGGAUAUAAUCCUCGAUCGUCAUGCGAGUGCUACCGGGUCAUCCCGAACGUCACCCCGCCCCGAUUGCCGAGGUAAUACCGCGCCUCAAGGAGGCCUACCCCGACGCGAGGACCGAGCUCCAAUGGGAGAACCCUCUCGAGCUUUUGGUGGCGACGAUCCUCUCCGCCCAAAGCACCGACGUCCGGGUAAACCAGGUCACGAAGAGGCUCGUCGAGGA